GUGACGAUAGCCUAGGAGAUACACCUGUACCCAUGCCGAACACAGAAGUUAAGCCCUAGAACGCCGGAAGUAGUUGGGGUUAGCCCCCUGUCGAGAUAGGGAAGUCGCUUAGC
rnacentral:rRNA from 1 species